UACGAAGGGGGCUAGCGUUGCUCGGAAUCACUGGGCGUAAAGCGCACGUAGGCGGCUUUUUAAGUCAGGGGUGAAAUCCUGGAGCUCAACUCCAGAACUGCCUUUGAUACUGAGGAUCUUGAGUUCGGGAGAGGUGAGUGGAACUGCGAGUGUAGAGGUGAAAUUCGUAGAUAUUCGCAAGAACACCAGUGGCGAAGGCGGCUCACUGGCCCGAUACUGACGCUGAGGCACGAAAAGCGUGGGGGAGCAAACAGG
rnacentral:rRNA from 1 species